CCGGGGCGACCCUGCCUUCGGGCGGGGGCUCCGGGUGGACACUUCAAACUCUUGCGUAACUUUGCAGUCUGAGUAAACUUAAUUAAUAAAUUAAAACUUUUAACAACGGAUCUCUUGGUUCUGGCAUCGAUGAAGAACGCAGCGAAAUGCGAUAAGUAAUGUGAAUUGCAGAAUUCAGUGAAUCAUCGAAUCUUUGAACGCACAUUGCGCCCCCUGGUAUUCCGGGGGGCAUGCCUGUUCGAGCGUCAUUUCACCACUCAAGCCUCGCUUGGUAUUGGGCAACGCGGUCCGCCGCGUGCCUCAAAUCGACCGGCUGGGUCUUCUGUCCCCUAAGCGUUGUGGAAACUAUUCGCUAAAGGGUGUUCGGGAGGCUACGCCGUAAAACAACCCCAUUUCUAAGGUUGACCUCGGAUCAGGUAGGGAUACCCGCUGAACUUAAGCAUAUCAAUAAGCG
rnacentral:rRNA from 1 species